UACGGAGGAUGCAAGCGUUAUCCGGAAUCAUUGGGCGUAAAGCGUCCGCAGGUGGCCUAUCAAGUCUGCUGUCAAAGCGCAGAGCUCAACUCUGUAAAGGCAGUGGAAACUGAUAAGCUAGAGUUCGGUAGGGGUAGCGGGAAUUCCCAGUGUAGCGGUGAAAUGCGUAGAUAUUGGGAAGAACAUCGGUGGCGAAGGCGCGCUACUGGGCCGAAACUGACACUGAGGGACGAAAGCUAGGGGAGCGAAAGGG
rnacentral:rRNA from 1 species